rnacentral:rRNA from 1 species
AUUGAACGCUGGCGGCAGGCCUAACACAUGCAAGUCGAGCGGAGCGGCGGACGGGUGAGUAAUGCCUAGGAAUCUGCCUGGUAGUGGGGGCUAACGUCCGGAAACGGGCGCUAAUACCGCAUACUAUCAGAUGAGCCUAGGUCGGAUUAGCUAGCUGGUGGGGUAAAGGCCUACCAAGGCGACGAUCCGUAACUGGUCUGAGAGGAGGAUCAGUCACACUGGAACUGAGACACGGUCCAGACGCCGACGGUAGGUUGCAGUGGGGAGUGUUGGGCAGUGGGCGAUAGCCUGAUCCAGCAAUGCCGCGUGUGUGAAGAAGGUCUUCGGAUUGUAAAGCACUUUAAGUAGGGAGGCGUUACCAACAGAAUAAGCACCGGCUAACUUCGUGCCAGCCGCCGCGGUAAUAC